rnacentral:rRNA from 1 species
AAAGAAACUAACAAGGAUUCCCCUAGUAACGGCGAGCGAAGCGGGAAGAGCUCAAAUUUGAAAUCUGGUAGACUCAGUCUAUCCGAGUUGUAAUCUAUAGAAGCAGUUUCCGUGCUGGCCCAUGUACAAGUCCCUUGGAACAGGGCGUCAUAGAGGGUGAGAAUCCCGUUCUUGACAUGGACUACCAGUGCUUUGUGAUCUGUUUUCAACGAGUCGAGUUGUUUGGGAAUGCAGCUCAAAAUGGGUGGUAAAUUCCAUCUAAAGCUAAAUAUUGGCGAGAGACCGAUAGCGAACAAGUACCGUGAGGGAAAGAUGAAAAGCACUUUGGAAAGAGAGUUAACAGUACGUGAAAUUGUUGGAAGGGAAACGCUUGAAGUCAGACUUGCUGUUCGGAGUUCAGCC